GCCUAUAUGUAAAAACUGAAAUAAAGUGACAUGGACAAUUUUGGUUUUGAUGUUUAAUGAGUAUCAAAACUAGGAUUGUCUAUGCCAUUGUGUUUCCUUUAACUCCAGUUUUUCA
rnacentral:precursor_RNA from 11 species